GAAUCACAGCGCCUUUAUCCCCUUUCUGGAACCACACGAAUCACAACGCCUUUGUUCCCUCCAAAGCUCAUCACUCAUCAUCGCGAAGAACCCUCUCUAAAACCCUCUCUAAAAUUUUUGUUAUCAAAUGCCUUUAUCCCCUUUCUGAAACCCUCUCAGCAUCGCAAAGAACCAAAUGCAGCACUCACUAUCGCCACAUCGCCGCACACUCACCACUCACUAUCGCCACUGACCGUCGCUCCUCUUCGCCCUCCUGCACUGAGCUGCGCUGCUCUCAGUAUCGUCAUCUCUGCGCUUCUCAUCGUCCUUCCCCUUUCAAUUUGAUCGUCAUUGCUGUAACCCUCAACUUCGCCAUUCUCGGUUUCUCACCGUCGCUGGCGACCGUCGCCACCCAGUAACCACUCACCACCACUGUCGCUGUUGAUCGUCGAUGUUGCUACACUGACCAUCGCUCUUCUUUGCCGUUCUUCUCAUCAUCCUCUUCUCUGUGCUCACAUCGUUGAGUAUGAACAAGUAAAGUUGCAAAAUUCUUGAGAGCCAAUUGAAUUUCUCUUUUCAAAGUACCGGAAGAAACAGUAGAGCUACUUGGGAAAUCUGACCUGUAUUUCUUUAGCCCCGAGCAUCCUCCAUUGACCGAACCAGCUCAGAAAGCCCUUGACUGGGCCGUGGAUGAGAAAUUGAAGUCAGGAUCUUGAGAAAAUGGAUUUUGAAGGAAGUGAAAAGGAGACUGUGGUUACUCAGGUUAACAUUGGUGGAUUUGACCGUGAGGUCAGAGCAAAUGAUAUUGUGGUAUUCUUGGAACUUGGAAGAGAAAAUUGGAAUGGUAGAUAGGUGUCGCUUGAAAACAUCUUGGACCCCUCCAGAGUCAUAUCCAGAUUUAAAAAAAUUAUUUAAAGAAAUUAUUUAGUAUAAUUAUGUAUUUAUUUUUAUUGUAUAAUAUUCAACUCAUUUAAAUAAAAAUGCAGAAUUAUUAUACAUGUAAAUCAUAUUAUUAACUAUUAUGUUGUAUUAAUAAUUAUUAAAAAAUUAUAUAUAUAUAUAUAUAUAAAACGA